rnacentral:lncRNA from 1 species
GGAUUUGAAAGCAGAUUUAAAUGGGUCUCACUGCAAAAAGCCUGACAUAGUCAAUUUCUGGGUCCAUACUGAAAUACCGGUUGCUUUGGCGAUCUCAGUUAGAUACCGUGGUUGAAAGCAUGCAGGUUCUAGGCAGUGCCUCUCCUAGAUGCAAGCAUGUUGGAAUCUCUAGUACUAAGGGGCUUUCAGUUUGAAAGAUGAAAAAAAUCUACUAUUUUCAUGAUAGUAUAAUAGACACUUUUGGGGACCUACCCAGAUUCUCUUUAUCAAAUUGGUGUUCUUAUCCUACAGGUGUUCCUGAUGGCUCAUAUCUGACACUUCUCUUCAAAAUUACCAUCAGCAAGAGCCUACUUAUUGUGAAAUGCUUGGCAGGUUAUACCAUCACCUCUUCUCUGGGAAUAACUACAUCCAAUCCCUGAUACUGGGGCACACAAGGCUGUUUCCUUCUUCAAGGCAGAGCUCACUGACAGUAGAUGGGUUUGGCUGCUACUUCUUCCUGAAGCUCAGCAGCCCUUGUGGAAGACUGCCAUCACCGUGGAUAUCACUGCAGUCUUCACAUUGCUCAAUACAGAGCCCUAAGUGACGCCACUGCCAGUGAAGGAGACAGGAAGAGGAUGAGGGAAGCGAGGAGAGUCUCAAUCUACCAGGUGACUCAGAAAGACCUUUUCCUAAUGUUCAGAAAAAUGUUUGGAGUUCAAAAUGUCUAUAUAAAGGAGUCCAAUCUGUUCUUGAGUUUCAGUGAUGGCCCAGUCUACCAAAAAAAUUGAAGAAAAAUUUACUCUGACCAGUACAAAAUUUGCUUCUAGCAGAGGAGAAAAAAUGAGGACUGGGAAAGAGAAGCAAAAAAGUGGGAGCCAGGAUUGUGCUUGGCAUUACUCACAGUGAUUGGGAAAGUUGUUCUCAUUUGCUUAUGGACUGAUGAAGUCAAGCCAUUGCUCCUGGAGGUUCUUCACUGUCAAUAAUGUACAUUGCUUUGGGAGGGAAAAAAUACAAAGUCUCAGGCAAAACCUACUCUACCUGAUAUAUUUCUUUCUGUAUAAAAGGAGAGUUUAGCUAAAGAAUUGACAAUUACUAAGGUUUCAGAAUUUUUUUUUUCAUUUCAGUUUUAUUUUAGACUAGAACAGAUAUUUCUGACUCUGACAUAGUUGAUGGAAAUGAGAAACAUUUCUAUUUCUCUGUGUCUUAUUAUCUCUUAUAUGCAAGGUUUACUGGGUUGAUCUUCCUGUUUCUUCCACAUCUUGACUGGCUCUCUCUCUCUCUCUUUAAAGAUUUAUUUAUUUGGGAGAGAGAGAAAGGGAGAUCGCACAAGUGGGAAUGUAGAAGGAGAGAGAGAAUCUCAAGUAGGCUCCAUGCUGAGCACAGAGCCUGUGAGGCUUCAUCCCAGGACCCUGAGAUCUUGACCUGAGCCAAAACCAAAAGUCAGAUGCUUAGCUAACUGUGCCACCCAAGCAUACGUUGACUCGCUCUUUUACAGUGUAGAUCUUACUCUACUUUCUGCCAUCCCUACUUUUUCCAGUAUUUAAAUAUUCAACUUUCUUAUCUAUUCUAGACUUUCCACUCUUUCCAUGUAAGCAAGUUAUAUCCAUUCUCUCCCUUGCAUUUGAUAUAGGGGAUUCCAACAGCACUAUGUGUCUCAGCAAAAUUACAAAAGCCAAGAAUUGUUGUUAUUUUUAUUUUUGUUCCAUAUAUAUAUAGAGAGUGUGGGUAGCAAUAUUUGCUUUUAAUAGAAAAGGUCUGGAGCAAGUUACUUGUUAAUGACUACAACUUAAUGGUUAUAUGAUUUAAAUAAGAUAUUUGUGGCAUAACACUAGGAUGCUUUUAUUUAAAUUACUAAAUAUAAUAGGUUAAUUUUCAUAUGUCACAUUUUAAAAUGUCUACUUCUUAUUUAAAAAUGAUCAAUUUAUUCUCACUUUUUUGAAAACUUCUUUUUGAAUAGUUUGACUUUUGUUACCAAAUGAAAAACCAGUUCUAAUAGAAAUUUGAUUCAGUUUUUUUGUUGUCGUUGUUCUUUGGUGGGGGCAGGGGAGGGGCAGUAGGAGAGGGAGAGAGAAUCUUUUUUUUUUUUUUUUAAAGAUUUUAUUUUAUUUAUUUAUUUGACAGGCAGAGAGGCAGGCAGAGAGAGAGGAAGGGAAGCAGGCCCCCCUGCCGAGCAGAGAGCCCGACACGGGGC